UCUGUUUAUCCAAAGAAUAGGUACAGCACACGCAAGUGCAGUGCAAGCUUCCUUGCACUUUUGAGCCAAUAUGCCUCAAACUUUCCUUUAGAAAGACCAUCUCUAGACUCAAGAGA
rnacentral:sRNA from 1 species